AGGGAUGAGUUCACCAGACUGGAGGGGGUGGUGGUCCUCCUCACCACCAUGGAUACCAUGAGGGAUGAGUUCACCAGACUGGAGGGGGAGGUGGUCCUCCUCACCACCAUGGAUACCAUGAGGGAUGAGUUCACCAGACUGGAGGGGGUCCUCCUCACCACCAUGGAUACCAUGAGGGAUGAGUUCACCAGACUGGAGGGGGAGGUGGUCCUCCUCACCACCAUGGCUACCAUGAGGGAUGAGUUCACCAGACUGGAGGGGGAGGUGGUCCUCUUCACCACCAUGGCUGCCAUGAGGGAUGAGUUCACCAGACUGGAGGGGGGAGGUGGUCCUCCUCACCACCAUGGAUACCAUGAGGGAUGAGUUCACCAGACUGGAGGGGGGAGGUGGUCCUCCUCACCACCAUGGAUACCAUGAGGGAUGAGUUCACCAGACUGGAGGGG
rnacentral:lncRNA from 1 species